rnacentral:rRNA from 1 species
GACAGAGGGUGCAAACGUUGUUCGGAAUUACUGGGCGUAAAGCGCGUGUAGGCUGCUUCAUAAGUCGGGUGUGAAAGCCCUGGGCUCAACCUAGGAAGUGCACUCGAAACUGCGAAGCUUGAGUCCUGGAGAGGAAGGCGGAAUUCUCGGUGUAGAGGUGAAAUUCGUAGAUAUCGAGAGGAACACCGGUGGCGAAGGCAGCCUUCUGGACAGUGACUGACGCUGAGACGCGAAAGCGUGGGGAGCAAACAGG